AAAUUACUGAUUCUGUUAUAAUGAAGGACAGGAAGACUGGACAACCUCGUGGUUUUGGGUUUGUGACCUAUGCAGAUCCCUCAGUUGUUGAUCAAGUUAUACAGGACACACAUAUUAUUAAUGGGAAACAAGUGGAAAUCAAGCGAACGAUACCAAAGGGAGCUAUUGGAUCUAAGGAUUUCAAGACCAAAAAGAUUUUUGUUGGUGGAAUUCCAACAGCUGUGACUGAAGAUGAGUUCAAAGA
rnacentral:misc_RNA from 1 species